CAUUGGAUGUAUGCAUAGCCAUCAUGGGGCAAUCAUCAGGGAAUACAAAAUGUGGCAUCCCAUGCAAAUGUGCGGCUUGAACCUUCAUUGGACCUUCAGCUAUGUCACUAUUUAUAUUUAUACUUAUUUUCCAAUACCCUUAAUAUAUGCUUGAAGGAAUCAAAACUCGUAAAAUAUACAACACUAAGAAAGCAAAAGAAUAUCAAGUCAUAAGACUGGAUGCAGCUCCUCUCAUCCCAACAUUCCAUCGGGGAAGGAAGUCGGGUAUGCAACACCAUGUGAUUGCCAAGCAAACCUCAAUUUGUUGCUCGAUAAUACAAAUCAAACAAUUAAACUCUCCUGCUGUGGGGAUCUUCUUCGAAUUGUAUUGACACAAGGUUAUUCCCCUUUUGCUUCUUUCCCUGUUAUGAAUGGAUAAUGCUAAAAACUGUUGAUGAGAAGCACCAAAAGAAAGCUUUCCACGACUUAAAAUAGGUCUUUGCUUAUCCUCUUUCAACAACAGAUGCACCCCCCAGAAUUUUGAUUCCAUUAGAGCAUGAGGCUCUACUUCCAACUGUGAUGUAACUGUAACAAAACAAAUUAAUGUCAUAUGUGUAGACCAUAAAUAGUGCAAGAGCUAUCAAAUAUGAAGUCCAUUCAACUUGAUAAAGAUGUGUCAGCAAUCACUCAACUCUCAACUUGACAUCAAUUCAGUAACAGAGGACCAUUCAGAAAACCUAAGGCAAGCAAGCCGGCAGGCGAACCUUCAAUGUUGGCCUCAUAGUUUGAUUUUGUACAACCAUGCGGUAAUGAUCCAAGAUCCAACAGGCAAGGCUUCAAAAAAGAAUAGAUAGUAUGAUCAGCACAGAAAAUCUCCACCGGGACACCAUGCAACCAACCAUGCAUCAAAACAACCUAAUUUAUGUGUUAAUUUGAUAAAAAAGGAGGCAUGCACUGUGUCCUAGUGCAUGAGGCUUCUUCCAUUACAAAAUUUGAAGAGGAUCAAGUAAAAAAUUAUUUUCAUAUUUUAAAUCCAUGACAUGCAAGUUAUAAUAGUGUAACCUUAAAGCCUGCUCUCCCAUUACUAAUGCACUAAUUGAACAAUCCUAAAUUUCUAACCAUCAUUCAAAGAUAGUAGUUCUUUAUUCAUGCUGAGUCCUGGAAGGACGUAUGACAGGCCUACCUUCCUGGAAGACAGAGGAUGUACAAUCUUUGUUUUUAGGAUGGGAAGCUAAAAGCUGGUUCAUUGGGUGCUGGAAACUAGCAGGGACCCACCAUAAGCCUAUGAUGGGCCCAACUUUACAUCAGAUGCUGACAACCAGAGUAUUUCUACGGAUCGCCAGCACGUUCAUGACCGUUUCGUCCACAUGACCCUCUCGUCCAUUCAGUAAUCCAUAAAACAAUGCUUCCCCUGCCCAUUCCUUCAAUAACUCCAGGACAAGAUACGGCUGGCUGGCAAUUCUCUACAAAGAAAUAUAGGAAUUAUGAUAAUAGAAAUCAUUGGAUCAAUCUCACGCUUGCGUGCAAGUGGCUUGCCAGGGAAAUCUCUUCAUAUUUUUCUCUCCUUUUCCUGCAGGCCUGCUCCUAAUAAACAAACAAGAGCCCCAGAUCACCCCACUGUGACUGAAAAAAAGAAGGAAAAAAGAGUCAAAUGGAUGGAAGAAAGAAGACCAAUUCGUAAUUAGCAGAGAUUAAAAACAGAUAUAAAUCUCACUCUACAUGAGACAUAUGGGAGCUUGUUUCCUUGUAUCAUAUAGGUUCUGUGCAAAUGGCUCCUAAAACCUUCCUGUAAAAAUGCUUUCGAGGGGCAAUGGG
rnacentral:lncRNA from 1 species